UUGAACUUCAAAAAGUUAAAAUUUUGUUUGUGUUUAAAACUUUAAACUACCAAUAUGGCCAUAUUUAGUUGAGUUAUUCUCAGUGUGACAGUUGCUGUGGCACCGGCAUCAUCUGCCGCAUCGCGUCAUUUUUACAGUCAGGAAGCUGGACAAUAGUUUGCGGAUUGUGUGGCUUCUCCAGCAGCGACUCUUUGUCAUCGACAGCUGGCGGGCAGGAAGCCCAGCUCAGGCGCUAAACCAUAUAUGCAUUUCCAGCUCAGCACGCGCUUGGACAUCACAACGACGUAAAGAUUUGAGCCAGCUGCAGUUACACUCCCAAAACUCUAAAAAGGUUUUGCAGUGCAAUGGUUAAUGGUUAAAAUUGCGUUUUGGUUUUUAAUAUCACAAAAUGUAAAAACAUGUCAGCGUUGGUUAAAUUCAGUUUUCAUAGAAAUAUCCAUAAAAAAUACUACUGUUAAAGCUAAUGGUUAAAGAGAACAGCAUGCUGCGGCAUUGAACAUAAAACCAUUCUAAACUCACGUUGAGGCACAGUAGGAAGAAGUCCAUGGUGAAGAUGAAACCGACAAUCGGGUCGAAAUUCACGCGGCGGGAGAGGGCCAAAUACACCAGGUGGAAGCACUCGAUGAGCAUGUCGCCCAGCAUG